CGGAGGCAGCAGUGGGGAAUCUUAGACAAUGGGCGCAAGCCUGAUCUAGCCAUGCCGCGUGAUCGAUGAAGGCCUUAGGGUUGUAAAGAUCUUUCGUGGGGGAAGAUAAUGACGGUACCCCAAGAAGAAGCCCCGGCUAACUCCGUGCCAGCAGCCGCGGUAAUACGGAGGGGGCUAGCGUUAUUCGGAAUUACUGGGCGUAAAGCGCACGUAGGCGGACCAGAAAGUCAGAGGUGAAAGCCCGGGGCUCAACCCCGGAACUGCCUUUGAAACUCCUGGUCUUGAGGUCGAGAGAGGUGAGUGGAAUUCCGAGUGUAGAGGUGAAAUUCGUAGAUAUUCGGAGGAACACCAGUGGCGAAGGCGGCUCACUGGCUCGAUACUGACGCUGAGGUGCGAAAGCGUGGGGAGCAAACAGGAUUAGAUACCCUAGUAGUCU
rnacentral:rRNA from 1 species